ensembl:lncRNA
CUAGGUGACCGUGCUUGAGCAGGGGGGUGUGGACUAGAUGAUCUCCAGAGGUCCCUUCCAACCUUGGUCAUUCUGUGAUUCUGUGAAAUUUCAUUGCUACUUGACACUACUCUUAAGUUGGGACCUAUCCUGAUUGUCAAACCAAUGAAAGAGACCUGUAUUUCUUCUUAAAGAAAUAAUUGAGUAAUAUUUUGCUAAUCUGACUAAUGUAACUCAAAAGAUUAUAUUUUGUGUCUAUAAUAUAGUCAAUGCCAGUGUUUUAGAGCUCUGAGUAAUACAUAAUUAGUGCUUGUUACUUUUUUAGGCUCUAAGUUUGUAAUAUUAUGGUUUUUGGCAAAGGAGUCUUCACACCUGUGCUGUUUGCAUUGAAAUUCUGGAUAACAUUAGCGUAACUGCUCUGUUCCCCCUACAGAAACUUCAGGAAAAGAAAAGAACCAAUGGACGGACUUUUAAAAGUAUCUUUAAACUUCAGUAUCAAGGAAACUGAAACUGACCCAGGUAGCACUAAAGCCGUCAGACGUACUAGAGGCCAAGCUGACAAGGCUGGACUCAGGAAAAGGACAGUGCUUCAAAGUGUAAAGGUGACAUCAAAGGGACUCGGCAAGACACAAAAAAGCCCGACCUAUUCAACAGCAGGUUUUGCAUCUACUGAUCCCAGAGAGCAACUGAAUUUAUUCCUUCCUACCCACUGCUGCAGAAGCAAAACUUCAGUUUUUCUAAACUGAUGCCCGUGUCUACUCCAGCUCAGUUCUAGGAACAAGUUACUGUAUUUUUUUCUACUAGGAAAUCCAACCUAAAGGUAUGACUCUUAAGUAGUCUGUCACCCAGAACUUCUAUGUCAUACAGUGCUAUCUACAUUCCAUAUAGUGAAAAUAUCCCACAUCCACACCCCAAAUAGAUCCAUAAAUUCUUUAAAACCUUAUUUCACAUUAACAUACGCACACAAAAUAUGGGCCUUACUAUGUUCUGGACCAUCAGACUUUGUGAAUGAGUCAUGCAGAAUCCCCUCCUAGAACUGCAGGACCGCCACUAAAGGUGUGCAUGAGGAAUGUCUCAACAGGCACUGAAACUCUCCAUUGAUUUUGGUGGGUAUCUGCUCUGCUUCCCCAGCCCGACUUCCCCUUUGAAAGAAUAAUUAAACAGCCUACACUGAUUAUCAUGUAAGUGAUUAUUGUUUAAAAGGGAUUUAAAUUAUAUAGCGGUAAAGAAGAACUAGUUAGAUGGAAUCUACUACCAGUGUUUUGAAAACAUUGCUUUAGGUAGCAAGUUCUUAAGGAGUAAUUUGUCCCAGAUCUGGACUUAUUUCCUCAAUUUGACAUGUACUCUCUUUUGAGGGAUGGGGAAAUCAACCCAACAUCUGUAUUUAUAAGAAUCUCUUCUAAAUUUCUUGUCUGUUUGCUUCAUAUAUUUCUGAAUUCUGUUGUUUUGUUAAAGCAGUAGUUUAUGAGUGCAUGCAGAAAUAUCUGGGCAGGGGAAGGGAGUAAAAAGUAGCCAUCAUAAAGAAUAAUCAUGUGGAGUACAAACAAGGCACUGAAUGACUUUGCUGCUUAUUUUUUGUGUUGGUAGGAUUUGCAGUCUAAAAAGCUUUCACAGAAUCACAGAAUGACCAAGGUUGGAAGGGACCUCUGGAGAUCAUCUAGUCCACACCCCCCUGCUCAAGCACAGUCACCUAGGGCAUAUUUCCCAGCAUAUUUCACGCGUCCAGACGGGUUUUGAAUAUCUCCAGGGAAGGAGACUCCACUACCUCU